rnacentral:lncRNA from 12 species
GGGGUCAGGGUCGGGGCGUCGUGGGAUCAAGGGGUGUGGUUGGGAGUCAAAGAGGCAUGGCAGGUGUCGAGGGGCGUGGCGGGGCUCAAGGGGUGUGGCAGGUGUCGAGGGAGCGUGGUCGGGUCAAGGAGGAGUGUGGGAGGCAAGGGGUGUGCCUGGCGGUCAAGGGGAUGUGGAGGAAGGUCAAGGAGGGCGAGGCUGGGGCCAAGGAGGCGUGGCCUGUUUCGGGGGCGUGGCCAGGGCUGAGGGGGCGUGGCAGGCGGUCAAGGGGCGUGGCAGGUCCCAGGGAGGCGUGGUCAGGGUCAAGGCGUUGUGGCGGGGUCACGAGGCAAGUCCCAGUCGUGGGGCGUGAUUGGCGGUCAAGGGGGUGUGGACGGAGGUCAAGGGGGCAGGCUGGGGCUGAGGGGGCGUGGCCGGGGCGAGGGGCGUGUCCAGGGUCAAUGAGGAGUCGGGUUCGAGGAGGCGUGGUCUGCCGGGGGCGUGGCCGGGGUGAGGGGCGUGUCCAGAGUCAAUGGGGAGAAUGGGUUUCGAGGAGGCGUGGUCUGUCUGGUGGGCGUGGCCGGGCCUGGGGGCGUGGCCGGGCUCUGGGCGAGGCGGAGAAGCGCGGCUGCAGGUGCAAGGAGUGGGAGGCGCUGCCGCGCGGCGCCUGCUUUGCUCCCAGGGCCGGGGCGGCCCCGCGGGCGGCCUGCGUGGUUACGGGCAGCUCCCUCCGGAUGCAGCGGGCCGGCCUCCCGGCUCCGGAGCUCGCCCGAGCGCCGCAGGGGGAGGCGCGGGCUCUGGCGACACCGCGGUGGGCAGCAGGCACACGGGACCGGCGGGGGGGCGGGGGCCGUGGGCGGCCGCAGGGCACGGAGCCUGGAACGCCGCGCGCAGCCAGCUGCGGUCAGCAGGAGACACAAAGGUCUAAGUGUGCGCGGCCGGCGGGCGCAGGGGCCAGCAGUGGGCUGGAAUCUGAGGAAGCACCGGCCCGGCCUGGCGGAGCCCAGACCCGAGCGGACCCGGUGGAGGCACGUGUCCCCCGCUGGGGACCCCGCCCGCCGGCCCGAGGACGAGGGCAAGGCAGGCGGGAGGGGCAGGGCACCGAACCCGCGUCGUCGGGGGCAAGGGCGCAAUGGAAGAUCCGGACAGUGAAGGAGACACAGUGGUGCCGCCGGGGAGGGGAAACUGAGGCUGCAGACGUCACAGGCCCCGGGGCAAGUGGAUGCCUCUGCCUGAAGCCACGGGGACAGGAUUCCAGGGCCUUCGUGGGACCCGCGGGCCCGUCCCUGUCUGAACCCCGCGGUGAAGCAGCACGGACUCGGCCUCGCAGAAGGCCCUCGAGGCCCAGCCCAGUGCUCUCCUCUGUGGAGUCGUGAGCCCGCUGGAAUCCAAAGGCUGUUGCAGAAAAACCCAAACCAAAGGGGCUACCUAAAACCCCGCAUCC